AUACGGAGGAUCCGAGCGUUAUCCGGAUUUAUUGGGUUUAAAGGGUGCGCAGGCGGCCAUUUAAGUCAGCGGUUAAAUCGUGGGGCUCAACCCCAUUCUGCCGUUGAUACUGGGUGGCUUGAUUGCGGUCGAGGUUGGCGGAAUUCGUUGUGUAGCGGUGAAAUGCAUAGAUAUGACGAAGAACACCGAUUGCGUAGGCAGCUGGCCAGACCGCAAAUGACGCUCAUGCACGACAGUGCUGAGAUCGAACAGGAUUAGAUAGCCUGGUAGUCCGCACAGUAAACGAUGAAUACCUGACUUCGGCGAUAUAAUGUCGGAGGCAAAGCGAAAACGAUAAGGAUUCCACCGGGGGAGUACGCCAGCACCGGGGAAACUCAAACGAAGUCACGGGU
rnacentral:rRNA from 1 species